rnacentral:rRNA from 1 species
UUAUUUGAGAGUUUGAUCCUGGCUCAGGAUGAACGCUGGCGGCGUGCCUAACACAUGCAAGUUGAGCGAUUUACUUCGGUAAAGAGCGGCGGACGGGUGAGUAACGCGUGGGUAACCUACCCUGUACACACGGAUAACAUACCGAAAGGUAUGCUAAUACGGGAUAAUAUAUUUGAGAGGCAUCUCUUGAAUAUCAAAGGUGAGCCAGUACAGGAUGGACCCGCGUCUGAUUAGCUAGUUGGUAAGGUAACGGCUUACCAAGGCGACGAUCAGUAGCCGACCUGAGAGGGUG